UACGUAGGGUGCGAGCGUUGUCCGGAAUUAUUGGGCGUAAAGGGCUCGUAGGCGGUCUGUCACGUCAGGAGUGAAAACUCGGGGCUCAACCCCGAGCCUGCUUCUGAUACGGGCAGACUGGAGGUAUGCAGGGGAGAACGGAAUUCCUGGUGUAGCGGUGAAAUGCGUAGAGAUGUGGAGGAACACCAGUGGCGAAGGCGACUCUUUGGCCUGUAACUGACACUGAGGCGCGAAAGCGUGGGGAGCAAACAGG
rnacentral:rRNA from 1 species